AUGCUCAGGCAGCACAUAUGAUAAAUUGGAAUCGAUACAGAGAAGAUUAGCAUGGUCCCCUGCAGAGGUGAUAAGACACAUAUGACAGAUGAAACUUACACUG